GACGAACGCUGGCGGCGUGCCUAAUACAUGCAAGUAGAACGCUGAAGGAGGAGCUUGCUUCUCUGGAUGAGUUGCGAACGGGUGAGUAACGCGUAGGUAACCUGCCUGGUAGCGGGGGAUAACUAUUGGAAACGAUAGCUAAUACCGCAUAAGAGUAGAUGUUGCAUGACAUUUGCUUAAAAGGUGCAAUUGCAUCACUACCAGAUGGACCUGCGUUGUAUUAGCUAGUUGGUGAGGUAACGGCUCACCAAGGCAACGAUACAUAGCCGACCUGAGAGGGUGAUCGGCCACACUGGGACUGAGACACGGCCCAGACUCCUACGGGAGGCAGCAGUAAGGAAUCUUCGGCAAUGGACGGAAGUCUGACCGAGCAACGCCGCGUGAGUGAAGAAGGUUUUCGGAUCGUAAAGCUCUGUUGUAAGAGAAGAACGAGUGUGAGAGUGGAAAGUUCACACUGUGACGGUAUCUUACCAGAAAGGGACGGCUACUCGCC
rnacentral:rRNA from 1 species